rnacentral:rRNA from 1 species
GACGAACGCUGGCGGCGUGCUUAACACAUGCAAGUCGAACGAUGAAGCCGGAGCUUGCUCUGGUGAAUUAGUGGCGAACGGGUGAGUAACACGUGAGUAACCUGCCCUUGACUCUGGGAUAACUGCGGGAAACUGUAGCUAAUAUCGGAUACGACCCUCGGAGGCAUCUCCUGGGGGUGGAAAGAAUUUCGGUCAAGGAUGGACUCGCGGCCUAUCAGCUAGUUGGUGAGGUAAAGGCUCACCAAGGCGACGACGGGUAGCCGGCCUGAGAGGGUGACCGGCCACACUGGGACUGAGACACGGCCCAGACUCCUACGGGAGGCAGCAGUGGGGAAUAUUGCACAAUGGGCGCAAGCCUGAUGCAGCAACGCCGCGUGAGGGAUGACGGCCUUCGGGUUGUAAGCCUCUUUUAGCAGGGAAGAAGCGAAAGUGACGGUACCUGCAGAAAAAGCACCGGCUAACUACGUGCCAGCCGCCGCAGUAA